AUUCCCCUAGUAACUGCGAGUGAAGCGGGAAAAGCUCAAAUUUAAAAUCUGGUGGCCCUUCCGCCAUCCGAGUUGUAAUUUAGAGAAGCGUCUUCCGCGCUGGACCGUGCAUAAGUCUCCUGGAAUGGAGCGUCAUAGAGGGUGAGAAUCCCGUCUUUGGCACGGACCCCAGGGCUUCUGCGAUGCGCUCUCGAAGAGUCGAGUUGUUUGGGAAUGCAGCUCAAAAUGGGUGGUGAACUCCAUCUAAAGCUAAAUAUUGGCGAGAGACCGAUAGCGAACAAGUACCGUGAGGGAAAGAUGAAAAGCACUUUGGAAAGAGAGUGAAACAGUACGUGAAAUUGUUGAAAGGGAAACGCUUGAAGUCAGUCGCGUCGACCGAGACUCAGCCUUGCCUCGGCUUGGUGUACUUCUCGGCUUGACGGGUCAGCAUCAAUUUUGACCCUCGGAUAAUGGUGGGGGAAAGGUGGCACCUUUGCAGGUGUGUUAUAGUCUUCCAUCGCAUGCGGGGGUUGGUAUUGAGGAACUCAGCACGCGCCUCUCGGUGUCGGGGCCUUGGCCCACGUUACGUGCUUAGGAUGCUGGCGUAAUGGCUUUAAACGACCCGUCUUGAAACACGGACCAAGGAGUCUAACAUACCCGCGAGUGUUCGGGUGGAAAACCCGUGCGCGCAAUGAAAGUAAAAGUUGGGACCUCUGUCGUGGAGGGCACCGACGCCCGGACCAGACCUUCUGUGACGGCUCUGCGGUAGAGCGUGUAUGUUGGGACCCGAAAGAUGGUGAACUAUGCCUGAAUAGGGUGAAGCCAGAGGAAACUCUGGUGGAGGCUCGUAGCGAUUCUGACGUGCAAAUCGAUCGUCAAAUUUGGGUAUAGGGGCGAAAGAC
rnacentral:rRNA from 1 species